GUCCACGCCGUAAACGAUGAAUGUUAGCCGUCGGGCAGUUUACUGUUCGGUGGCGCAGCUAACGCAUUAAACAUUCCGCCUGGGGAGUACGGUCGCAAGAUUAAAACUCAAAGGAAUUGACGGGGCCCGCACAAGCGGUGGAGCAUGUGGUUUAAUUCGAAGCAACGCGCAGAACCUUACCAGCCCUUGACAUGUCCGGCUAUCCAGAGAGAUUUGGAGUUCCCUUCGGGGACCGGAGCACAGGUGCUGCAUGGCUGUCGU
rnacentral:rRNA from 1 species